CGCGUUAGUGGGGGGAAGGUUCUAGAAAAGCGGCGGUCUCGGCUCCAGCGGCAGUAGCAGCGGCGCCGGUCUAGUGUGCAGGUGCUCCUUGCGGCGCAGUUUCUCGGCCACCGGCUGCUCUCACUCCAGCGUCAGGACGAGUCCCGUGCGUGUCCGUCCGCGGAGGUCUUUCUCAUCUCGCUCGGCUGCGGGAAAUCGGGCUGAAGCGACUGAGUCCGCGAUGGAGAGAGAAAAGGAACAGUUCCGUAAGCUCUUUAUUGGUGGCUUAAGCUUUGAAACCACAGAAGAAAGUUUGAGAAACUACUAUGAGCAAUGGGGAAAGCUCACAGACUGUGUGGUUAUGAGGGAUCCUGCAAGCAAAAGAUCAAGAGGAUUUGGCUUUGUAACUUUCUCAUCCAUGGCCGAGGUUGAUGCUGCCAUGGCUGCAAGGCCUCAUUCCAUUGAUGGCAGGGUAGUUGAGCCAAAACGUGCUGUAGCAAGAGAGGAGUCUGGAAAACCAGGAGCCCAUGUGACUGUGAAAAAACUGUUUGUUGGUGGAAUUAAGGAGGAUACUGAGGAACACCACCUUAGAGAUUACUUUGAAGAAUAUGGAAAAAUUGAUACUAUUGAAAUCAUUACCGAUAGGCAAUCUGGAAAGAAAAGAGGCUUUGGCUUUGUUACUUUUGAUGACCAUGAUCCUGUGGAUAAAAUUGUCUUGCAAAAAUAUCACACCAUAAAUGGUCACAAUGCAGAAGUUAGAAAGGCAUUGUCUAGACAAGAAAUGCAGGAAGUCCAAAGUUCUAGGAGUGGAAGAGGAGGAAACUUUGGCUUUGGGGAUUCUCGUGGUGGCGGUGGAAAUUUUGGACCAGGACCAGGAAGCAACUUUAGGGGGGGCUCUGAUGGAUACGGAAGUGGACGUGGAUUUGGGGAUGGCUAUAAUGGGUAUGGAGGAGGACCUGGAGGAAAUUAUGGAAGUGGAAAUUACAAUGAUUUUGGAAAUUAUAAUCAGCAACCUUCUAACUAUGGUCCAAUGAAGAGUGGGAACUUUGGUGGUAGCAGGAACAUGGGAGGACCAUAUGGUGGAGGGAACUAUGGUCCUGGAGGAAGUGGAGGAAGUGGGGGCUAUGGUGGAAGGAGCCGAUAUUGAGCUUCUUCCUACUUACCAUGGGUAAGUAGUUUUUGAGUUUUACAAUUAUUGUUAUCUUGGGAGAAUUAGCUGCAGGAGUAAAAAAGCAUUUUAGGAUCAUGUUAUCUUUCCUUAAAAUCUGGUUAGAUGGAUAAUUUCAUAACCUAUUUUUUUUUUACUCUUUACUUCUGUUGAAACAGGCUUCACUGUAUAAAUAGGAGAGGAUGAGAGCCCAGAGGUAACAGAACAGCUUCAGGUUAUCGAAAUAACAAUGUUAAGGAAACUCUUAUCUCAGUCAUGCAUAAAUAUGCAGUGAUAUGGCAGAAGACACCAGAGCAGAUGCAGAGAGCCAUUUUGUGAAUGGAUUGGAUUAUUUAAUAACAUUACCUUACUCUGGAGGAAGGAUUGUAAAAAAAAUGCCUUUGAGACAGUUUCUUAGCUUUUUAAUUGUUGUUUCUUUCUAGUGGUCUUUGUAAGAGUGUAGAAGCAUUCCUUCUUUGAUAAUGUUAAAUUUGUAAGUUUCAGGUGACAUGUGAAACCUUUUUUAAGAUUUUUCUCAAAAGUUUUGAAAAGCUAUUAGCCAGGAUCAUGGUGUAAUAAGACAUAACGUUUUUCCUUUAAAAAUUUAAGUGCGUGUGUAGAGUUAAGAAGCUGUUGUACAUUUAUGAUUUAAUAAAAUAAUUCUAAAGGAAAUUGUGUAAUUAUAGACUUUUUAUUUUAAAUAAGUUAAGGAGUGGGUAGUAUAAUUAAGGUCCAUUGCAAAGCUGUUGUUGUAUUUGUGUAAGAUAAAAAUGCUGGUCAGAUAUAAGUGUGUUGUCUGAAAUUCAUCAGGAAUAAAUUACCUAGUUAACUUAAGGGAUAUCUCUGCAAGGAGAAACACCUUUUUAGAUCUUUUAGAUGCUGCUUCUUCAAUGCAAGGAAAGGAAAUAACCCCAGCGAGGUACUCUUCAGGGACACAGGUCUAGUACAAGAGAACUCUUGACGACUAAUCUCAGCCAGUCUUAAAAAACUGUGCUGUAUCUACAAAACUUUAACUACAGUAGUUGAUAAGGAUGCCAACGAAAGCUGAGGGUGUAGAGCAAAGUAGUUCUAAGCUUCAGUUAAACUUCUUUAGGUAAGAACUGAUUUACUUUUUCUUUCUUAAUUUUCCUCCCUUAAAAGAUAAACUAAAACUCUUCAAUGGUCUUUUCAGUAUAGUUCUUAUGUAGUUUUAACAUAGCUUAUAAAUUGAGUUUAACAAACUCAAGAUAAUUUUAUAUAAACCCUGUUUUCCAAUCUGUCAUUUACUUAAAUUAUUUUGGUUGUUUUCCCUUUUUUUCCUUCUUUCUCACCCCCUCCCUUUCCAUGAAGAUUCAGGUGCUUAACAUAUCAUUUUUUUCCCUGCUGGAAUUUUAGCAUUGAUAUGAACCAUGGACAAGUAUAUUCUGCUGCCACAAAGACUGUAAAGUGCUUCAUUUCAACAGCUGAGGCAAGCCAAGUGAUCAUUAAUAAAGCUUUUCUUGCUUCCUUCAGUGGUGUUGGUAGUAAAAUGGAAGGUGUCUUGCUGCAGGUAACUAAUGAAGAAGUGGUCAACCACAGAGUCUUCAAGAAAUAAGAAAUUCUGUACCAUCUGAAAGUAGUUCUUGUUGGUGCCUUCAUUUAAGAAGCACUUUUAAGAUAAAAGGGAAUGUUUUCUGAUUAAAAACUUCAUUUAGUACAGGUUCUUAAUAAAAUUACAGAAAUGAGUGCUGAUUGUAAAGGGUGACAUCAAAUUAGCAAAGGACAAUGUGUUAUGUUUUAAAUUAGGAUUUGUGAGUAGACAGAUAAAAGCUCUAUUUUAAGUACAAGUUUUAUAAAAUAAAUACUUUUGUAUCCAAA